rnacentral:rRNA from 1 species
UCUAGAAGACAUCUGAAAGAGAUUAAAGAUUUAUCGGUUGAUGGAUGGGGAUGCGUCUGAUUAGCUUGUUGGCGGGGUAACGGCCCACCAAGGCUACGAUCAGUAGGGGUUCUGAGAGGAAGGUCCCCCACAUUGGAACUGAGACACGGUCCAAACUCCUACGGGAGGCAGCAGUGAGGAAUAUUGGUCAAUGGGCGAGAGCCUGAACCAGCCAAGUAGCGUGCAGGAUGAAGGCCCUAUGGGUUGUAAACUGCUUUUAUAAGGGAAUAAAGUGAGUCUCGUGAGACUUUUUGCAUGUACCUUAUGAAUAAGGACCGGCUAAUUCCGUGCCAGCAGCCGCGGUAAUACGGAAGGUCCGGGCGUUAUCCGGAUUUAUUGGGUUUAAAGGGAGCGUAGGCCGGAGAUUAAGCGUGUUGUGAAAUGUAGACGCUCAACGUCUGCACUGCAGCGCGAACUGGUUUCCUUGAGUACGCACAAAGUGGGCGGAAUUCGUGGUGUAGCGGUGAAAUGCUUAGAUAUCACGAAGAACUCCGAUUGCGAAGGCAGCUCACUGGAGCGCAACUGACGCUGAAGCUCGAAAGUGCGGGUAUCGAACAGGAUUAGAUACCCUGGUAGUCCGCACGGUAAACGAUGGAUGCCCGCUGUUGGUCUGAAU